GUUAAAUGGGGGAUUUGCGAAGAGAAAACGCGUGAUUUUUGCUUAAAUGGGGGAUUUGAAUAGAAAACGCGUGAUUUUCGCUUAAAUGGAGGACUUGCAUAGAGAAAACGUGUCAUUUACACGUUAAAUGGAGGAUUCUCAAAGAGAAAACGUGAUUUUCGCAUAAAUGUGUGAUUUGCGAAAAGAAAACGCGUGUUUUUCGCAUAAAUGGGGGAUUUGUGUAGAGAAAACACGUGAUUUUCAAGUUAAAUGGGGGAUUUCCGAAGAGAAAACGUGUGAUUUUCGCUUAAAUGGGGGAUUUGAGAAAACGCGUGAUUUUCGUUAAAUGUUGGUUUCUCGAAGAGGAAACGCGUGAUUUUCGCUUAAAUGGGGGAUUUGCGAAGAGAAAACGCGUGAUUUUCAAGUUAAAUGGGGGAUUUCCGAAGAGAAAACAUGUGAUUUUCGCAUAAAUGGGGGAUUUCCGAAGAGAAAACGCGUGAUUUUCGCAUAAAUGGGGGAUUCUCGAAGAGAAAACGCGUGAUUUUCGCUUAAAUGAGGGAUUUCCGAAGAGAAAACGCGAGAUUUUCGCUUAAAUGGGGGUUUUGCGAAGGGAAAACGUGUGAUUUCUGGUUAAAUGGGGGAUUUCGGAAGAGAAAACUCGUGGUUUUUUGGGUUAAAUGGGGGAUUUGCGAAGAGAAAAUGCGUGAUUUUCGCUUAAAUGGGGGAUUUGAGAAAACACAUGAUUUUCGGGUUAAAUGGGGGAUUCUCGAAGAGAAAAUGCUUGGUUUUCUGGUUAAAUGGGGGAUUUGCGAAGAGAAAACACGUGAUUUUCGCUUAAAUGGGGGAUUUCCGAAGAGAAAACGCAUGAUUUUCUGGUUAAAUGUUGGAUUCUCGAAGAGAAAACGCGUGAUUUUCGCUUAAAUGGGGGAUUUGAGAAAACGCGUGAUUUUCGGUUAAAUGUUGGAUUCUCGAAGAGAAAACGCGUGAUUUUCGCUUAAAUGGGGGUUUUGCGAAGGGAAAACGUGUGAUUUUCUGGUUAAAUGGAGGAUUUCCGAAGAGAAAACGUGUGAUUUUCGCAUAAAUGGG
ensembl:lncRNA